rnacentral:lncRNA from 10 species
CAGUAUAUGAUCCUCUGAGCCUUUCAUUAAACAGUCCUUUGAGCUUUGUGACAUCAUAAUUCUGCUAAGUGGGUCGCUAUUACCAUUCUCAUAUUGCAAACUCAAGUAGGCAGUUAUGUAGCCCCCGCCCAAAUUAGUGAACCCAAAACAAAACCCACAAGAUCUCAUCAACAGUUUUUACCUCACAGCUGACACUUAUAAAGGAGUUCCAAGUGCUUCCGCCAACUCCUCCUACCAGCAACUGUGAAAACAACGGCCACAAGGAGUAAUGCUGCUUUUCACACAGAAAGGGCUUCUACUGUGCCUGACCUUAAGACAGGAAAAGUAGGGGAGCUAAGGAAGCUACCUACACCGCCCUCACCCCCAGUAGCCAGGCUCAGGAAGGAAGAGGCACAGCGGUGUGAAUGGAUGGAGAAGAGGAGGCUGGUAGGCUGAGCCCCUGGCUCCUGGAACGAACACACAGCCAUGGCAGAGGAGAAUGUGGCUUGAAUAGGUUCCAUGACUUGUACAAGACCACAGCUGGUACAUGAUGAAGCAAGGACAAGACACGGGCAUCUGACCUCAAGAGUCUCUCCAAUCAUGAAAUACCUCUUUAAAUGCAUUAAUUGCAAAAUUCUAUCCUGGAUUAUCAACUGGAUCUUCAGCAAACACA